CGGUGAGGUAGAGGUUGCGAAAUUCACAAGUAACGCUGACGAGGUGCAUCACACACCGAUGACUCAUCGCGAAAAGGAUGCUCGCCGAAGUGAAGACAGGUGUAUGACUGCUCUUUAGCUGGGACUGUUGUCGAAAGAAACAGGACUGCCGUUUUUGCCAUUAGCUUGACGAAACGGAUGUGCUAUCUAACGC
rnacentral:ncRNA from 2 species